rnacentral:rRNA from 1 species
GUCUUCGGACUUUGAGACCGGCGCACGGGUGCGUAACGCGUAUGCAAUCUACCUUACACUAAGGGAUAGCCCAGAGAAAUUUGGAUUAAUACCUUAUAGUAUAUGAUGUGGACAUCCACGACAUAUUAAAGUUCCAACGGUGUAAGAUGAGCAUGCGUCCCAUUAGCUUGUUGGUGUGGUAACGGCACACCAAGGCAAUGAUGGGUAGGGGUCCUGAGAGGGAGAUCCCCCACACUGGUACUGAGACACGGACCAGACUCCUACGGGAGGCAGCAGUGAGGAAUAUUGGUCAAUGGGCGCAAGCCUGAACCAGCCAUGCCGCGUGCAGGAUGAAGCAUCUAUGGUGUGUAAACUGCUUUUGUACGGGAAGAAACCCUGCCACGUGUGGCAGAUUGACGGUACCGUAAGAAUAAGGAUCGGCUAACUCCGUGCCAGCAGCCGCGGUAAUACGGAGGAUCCAAGCGUUAUCCGGAAUCAUUGGGUUUAAAGGGUCCGUAGGCGGUUUUAUAAGUCAGUGGUGAAAUCCGGCAGCUCAACUGUCGAACUGCCAUUGAUACUGUAGGACUUGAAUUAUUGUGAAGUAACUAGAAUAUGUAGUGUAGCGGUGAAAUGCUUAGAUAUUACAUGGAAUACCCAUUGCGAAGGCAGGUUACUAACAAUAUAUUGACGCUGAUGGACGAAGGC